AUUCCAGCUCCAAUAGCGUAUAUUAAAGUUGUUGCAGUUAAAAAGCUCGUAGUUGGAUUCCUGGUUAGAGCGGCCGGUCUGGUCCGAAUGGGCUAGUACUUUGAGCUGUCUUUGACCUUCCUUUGGGAGAAUCUGUGUUGUUAUUAAUUUAGCAGUGCAGGGGACCCCAAUCGUUUACUGUGAAAAAAUUAGAGUGUUUAAAGCAGGCAUUUGCUGUGAAUACAUUAGCAUGGAAUAAUAAGAUAGGACUUUGGUGCUAUUUUGUUGGUUUGCACACCAAGGUAAUGAUUAACAGGGACAGUUGGGGGUAUUCGUAUUUAAUUGUCAGAGGUGAAAUUCAUGGAUUUAUGAAAGACGAACUACUGCGAAAGCAUUUACCAAGGAUGUUUUCAUUG
rnacentral:rRNA from 1 species